GAUGGCCUCUGGUGGUGUUAGAAGUUGGGUGGAAGAAAAAGUCAUUAAAAUAUAAGAAGGAUUUUCCAUUUACAAUUUGUCACAUCUUAAUAAUGCCAUGACGUAAUAGCCUCCCUUUAACAGAAAAUAAAUUCAAAACUUUUAGGCGAUCAUAAUGGCAACCAGAUCAUAACAACCACCAGUGGCAAGUCUUGGAGAAUUAAAGCACAAUAAGUAGGACAACACUGUGGGGAAAUGGGGAGAGAACUCUUACCUCUCACUCUCUCAACAUAGUUUGUCAAGAUCAAAUCAAAUACAUUACUGGAUGAAUUUAUGAUUGGUUCAGCAAUCAACUGGGUUAAUCCCAACAAGAAUCUUUCAUCCAGCUGAGACAAAUGCAUACCAGUGAUGAAGUUUGUGGUGGAGCAUGUGAGCAGAUUGGGGAUGGCUAGGCAGGCUGGGUGGUCUCUGCAGCCAGCCUGAUAGUAUGCACACCACUCCACUCUCCCUUAUUCCCACCAAGGGAGGCAGUGCACCACAUCUCAUGCAGGACGUACUGCACCGGUGGCGAGGCGUCGAGGAAGCACCUCUUUGUGUUCCUGCCCACCACUUUACUGAACACAUGAAGGUGCUCCAGAGUUUCAAGAAGGGUGGCACACACACUUUGCUGCACUACAAGCUUUUGGAGGUCCAGCGGCACACUGCACACUUCUUUCCUAAACGUGUGUGCAGAGUGCAAGACAGAGUGGCAAGGAUGGAGGAUGCAUCAACAUUCACAGCAUCAUUGGUUCAUGCUUUUUAUUUUUUUUUGUGUGUGUGUGUGUGGAAAGAAGUGCACACAGUUUUAACCGAAGGAUUAUAUGUGUGUGUGUGUGUGUGUGUGUGUGUGGGCAGCAGCUUUAUGGGCAAGUGUGCCAGUCAUUCCUUGAAUUCAAUGUUUUUCAUUUAGGGAAAAAUUGUUGUAUAUAAUUAGGUUUAUAGACAUUUUUGAGUGGGAAUGUUUAGACUGAUUAAAUAGUAAGUUUCUCUACUUUGUAGAGCUUUGCUGUUACUGUUCUGUGUAAGGUUUCAAGGGCCGUAUUCUACAAACCAUCAUAGCUAGUGAUGUGAUUGUAGACAAAAUGGUGCAUUUUAGACACAAGUCCCUCAAUGACAGGCUCUCACCUUGUGACUCGUCAUAAGUUCAGUCUGUUGCAGCGCUGCCAACCACUGUCUUAAAACUCUUCUCAGCAUGGUGAGAGCUUGUUUUAUGUACCAUGGCAUGAUCCCCGACAGUUUUUGAUAUUAAUUAAUGAUAAAUAUCUGUAAUGAUGGCUAAAUAAUGUCCUUUGAUGGAGUAAUUUAUCAUUAUAGAUAACUGCCAAGAGGGUGCGAUCAGUUUUCCAAAAACUCAAACAAACCUUGCUCUGAGUGGCUUGCAUGUGUCAUGUGUCAUGUGUCAGGCUGUUGGGCAUAAUCUUAUGUUUGUCAUGUUUCCUUUGUUUGGAUACACAGUCUUACUAUGAUGUCAAAAUAAUUAGAAUUGUAGAAAUUAUGUCAAGGAUCUAUUUCUUUGUAUACUUAUAUAAAGUUGACAAGUGAUGAGCCCAAAGACCAGCAGUGGAGUGACGGUCAGGCAUUCAGUGAGACCUGAGGCUGACUGUGUAGAAUACGGCCCCAGAAGGACGGUCUGUGUUUUGUGUAUUUAUGGUGACAAUGUAGCGUUGCAAGGGACAACAUGCUGUUUGAGACCAAAGCCAUUGUGUAAGAAAUCAUUGUACAGAGUUGAUAGUUCCUCCUAGACUUUGCAAUGAAAUUGCUGUCAAAAUACUAUUAUGUUAUUGUAUUCAUUUUUUUAAUGUUAUAUUAGACAAAUGUAUGGAUGACCUGUUCAUACAGAGACUGCUGCCAUGUAUGUGCAGGCCUCAUGGUCCAUCUUGCAACUUUCCUAAUUUUUUUCUCUAAUACUUUGUAAGGUGAAAAUAUUCCCAGACUAAAAAAUAUAAAAUUGUCCCAAGUUAGAAAUUGCAGAAAUUAUUCUAAGUUGAAAUAUAAAAAUUGUUGUAUGUUGCAAGUUGUAAAAUUUCUGUUGAAAAUUGUUAAAAUUUUCCUAGCUGUUCAAAUUCUAGUGUUGCUUUGUAAAAAUAUCCUAGCUGUUCAAAUUCUAGUGUUGCUUUGUAAAAUGUUCUAAGUCGAAAGUUUUGGUAGAGUUUUCAUCUGAUUUGUGUAAAAUUUUCUAGUUGAAAUUUGUAGUUUCCUAGCUGUACAAAAUUUUCUAAGUCGAAAGUUUUGGUAGAGUUUUCAUCAGAUUUGUGUAAAAAUUUUCUAGUUGAAAUUUGUAGUUUUCUAGCUGUACAAAUUCUGGUGUUACACUGUAAAAUUUUUCUAAGUUGAAAGUUUUGGUGGAGUUUUCAGAGUUGUGUAAAAAUGUGUUGAUUGAAUAAAAGUGAAGGAAGGGAGA
rnacentral:lncRNA from 1 species